CGCUGGCGGCGUGCCUCAAAAUGCAAGUCGAACGCGAAAGUUUCCUUCGGGAGGCGAGUAGAGUGGCGCACGGGUGAGUAACACGUAAGUAAUCUACCUCUGGGUGGGGAAUAACAAUCGGAAACGAUUGCUAAUACCGCAUAAUGCAGCGGCUCCUUAUGGAGACAGUUGUUAAAGUAUUUAUAUGCCUGGAGAGGAGCUUGCGGCAGAUUAGCUAGUUGGUAAGGUAAUGGCUUACCAAGGCUACGAUCUGUAGCCGACCUGAGAGGGUGGUCGGUCACACUGACACUGAAUAACGGGUCAGACUCCUACGGGAGGCAGCAGUCGGGAAUUUUGGGCAAUGGGCGAAAGCCUGACCCAGCAACGCCGCGUGAAGGAUGAAGUCUUUCGGGAUGUAAACUUCGUAAGAAUAGGAAGAAUAAAUGACGGUACUAUUUGUAAGGUCCGGCUAACUACGUGCCAGCAGCCGCGGUAAU
rnacentral:rRNA from 1 species